UGAGGCAGGCUAUAGGAAGGAUUUGGGGGCUUCUGAGGGAAUGGGUUCAGGGAGUAAGGCAGGUUUCAGGGAUGGUUUAGGGGGUUCUGAAGAAAUGGGGUCAGUGAAUAAGGCAGGUUAUAGGAAGGAUUUGGGGGCUCCUAAGGGAAUGGGUUCAGGGAGUAAGGCAAGUUUCAGGGAUGGUUUAGGAGGUUCUGGAGAAAUGGGGUCAGUGAAUGAAGCAGGUUAUAGGAAGGACUUGAGGGUUCCU
rnacentral:lncRNA from 1 species